GGCUGUAGCUCAGUGGUAGAGCUCUUGCCUAGUAGCAUGGGUGAGGUCACUGGGUUCGAUCCUCAGCACCA
rnacentral:tRNA from 1 species